rnacentral:rRNA from 1 species
AACGAACGCUGGCGGCAGGCUUAACACAUGCAAGUCGAACGCCCCGCAAGGGGAGUGGCAGACGGGUGAGUAACGCGUGGGAAUCUACCCAUCCCUACGGAACAACUCCGGGAAACUAGAGCUAAUACCGUAUACGCCCUACGGGGGAAAGAUUUAUCGGGGAUGGAUGAGCCCGCGUUGGAUUAGCUAGUUGGUGGGGUAAAGGCCCACCAAGGCGACGAUCCAUAGCUGGUCUGAGAGGAUGAUCAGCCACAUUGGGACUGAGACACGGCCCAAACUCCUACGGGAGGCAGCAGUGGGGAAUAUUGGACAAUGGGCGCAAGCCUGAUCCAGCCAUGCCGCGUGAGUGAUGAAGGUCUUAGGAUUGUAAAGCUCUUUCACCGAUGAAGAUAAUGACGGUAGUCGGAGAAGAAGCCCCGGCUAACUUCGUGCCAGCCGCCGCGGUAA